GAACAUCUUACGGAUGGCCCAGGGCUCCAAAGGCUCGUUUCCUAAGUGAGAGAGAGCCUGGCUGAAGCUGUAUUACCAUUCAUUCUCCAGCCUCCGAAGUCUCAAAGCAUCACUUCCACCAUACUCUAACUGUCAAGACAAACACAAAGGCCCAGAAACUGCCAGACUGUCUUCUGAAGUGGCUAUAAUAUUUACACUCCCAUCAGCAGUGUAGAAGGGGUCUCACUAUGUUGUCUGGAGUGCUGUGGUGGAGUGGAGUGGCUAUUCACAGAGCCUGUUCUGCUGGGACACAGAAUCACUUGCUCCAUCUCAUACAUUGAUGAUGAUUAAUUUGUAUGUGUACCUUCCAAAAAAGAUGGUUGUGUUUGAAUGGAGGCCUUCUGGACAGGAAAAUAUGGAGAGUGCGUGCUUUGGAUUCAAGACUGGGAAUGAGGGGACCAGAAACCUAUUCUGUGGCUGUUUCUUGUUAGGACUUUCCUAAGCCUCUGGAAAAGAAUCACAUCCUUCCUGAGAUAAUGAGCACACAAUUGCCUGGAUACCUGAAGGAAUGGAGACAGCGGCAGAAAACACUGCAGAGAGGUGGAAACAUCCGUUAAUAUUUUAAAAUCCCAUUACUGCUACCAACAAUAAUAAUGGAUGCAUAGAAAUAGAUCUGGAUUAGCUGAGCUUGAAACAGUCCAUCUCACACACACACAAAAGAAUUUCAGAUACAGUGAACCCACAUGUUGAAGCUUUCUAGUAUAAUAAAAAUUUCAACUGUUCUGUUGAAUCAUCUGCCUGAUUGGAGGCUACAGAAAAGAUGUCAUCUUAGGAGUGCUUGCUCUGAGUGAGGCUCAUCUUCAAAUCUGAAUGACCACAAGGAGAUUUGAUUAUACAUGUGAACACCUCAGAAGGCACAGCCCACCCAGAAGGCAGACAGGUCAGGCUGCUUUUUCUUCAUUGCUUGGAUUCAAUCCUCCGGGCGGCUCAGGCUCAAACAUAACUUAAGCAUGAUUAAACUUUAGAAGAAGCUGCCAGGAAGACUGUGAAAUCUUCAUGCCCAAGGAUCCCUAAAAUUAGGAGCAACAACCACUUGGCUCAGACGGUUUAUGGAGGCAAAGGUUUGGAUGGGAUUAGAGAUUUCUAAAUGUGAGUUCGUGUCCUCUGCCAGACCACCUUACUUCCACCAUUCCUCAGCAAAUCAAGAAAAACAGGAGAAAAGACAUGCCUUUCCAUAAGUUAAAUCUAUUCUGUUUUAAUUCUAUAUUAUAUCUGCUGUACAACUUCUUUUGUUUGUAACACCAUAUUGUUGCUAGUAACUGGAAAUUAAUUUUCACAUGCCUCAGCUUAGAAAAAUAAAAAGCAGCC
rnacentral:lncRNA from 1 species